rnacentral:rRNA from 1 species
GACGAACGCUGGCGGCGUGCCUAAUACAUGCAAGUCGAACGAACCGCGACUAAGUGCUUGCACUAAGUCAAGGUGAGUGGCGAACGGGUGAGUAACACGUGGGUAACCUACCUCAUAGUGGGGGAUAACAGUCGGAAACGACUGCUAAUACCGCAUAGGACAUAGGAUCACAUGAUCCAGUGAGGAAAGGUGGCGCAAGCUAUCGCUAAGAGAUGGACCCGUGGUGCAUUAGCUAGUUGGUAGGGUAAAGGCCUACCAAGGCGAUGAUGCAUAGCCGACCUGAGAGGGUGAUCGGCCACAUUGGGACUGAGACACGGCCCAAACUCCUACGGGAGGCAGCAGUAGGGAAUCUUCCGCAAUGGAAGCAAGUCUGACGGAGCAAAGCCGCGUGAGUGAAGAAGGUCUUCGGAUCGUAAAGCUCUGUUGUUAGAGAAGAACAGCGCAUAGAGUAACUGCUAUGCGUGUGACGGUAUCUAACCAGAAAGCCACGGCUAACUACGUG